AACGGCUGCUGCUGACAGCCACAAUGAUGCCGGGGAAGAAAUGAUCGGAAAUAAAACAUACAUUCGAGACUGUGUAUUUAAAAAUGAAGCGGGAGUUCUGCGCGUGCUCAUCAUUCGAACUAUAACGGUCAUCUAGCACUGGACGCUGAGGGAAAGGACAAGUCUGAUGAGUGGAGAUGUUGCCGUGGCCCUCUUUACAGACGAUACAAAUUUCAUUACCAACCUGUGAAAAUCUCAUGUCAUUAUGGAAAUGUGACUCAAGUUGUUAUAGCUCUAAAUACAACACAGUUA